GUACACGGUGGAUGCCCUGGCAGUCAGAGGCGAUGAAGGACGUGCUAAUCUGCGAUAAGCGUCGGUAAGGUGAUAUGAACCGUUAUAACCGGCGAUUUCCGAAUGGGGAAACCCAGUGUGUUUCGACACACUAUCAUUAACUGAAUCCAUAGGUUAAUGAGGCGAACCGGGGGAACUGAAACAUCUAAGUACCCCGAGGAAAAGAAAUCAACCGAGAUUCCCCCAGUAGCGGCGAGCGAACGGGGAGCAGCCCAGAGCCUGAAUCAGUAUGUGUGUUAGUGGAAGCGUCUGGAAAGGCGCGCGAUACAGGGUGACAGCCCCGUACACAAAAAUGCACAUGCUGUGAGCUCGAUGAGUAGGGCGGGACACGUGGUAUCCUGUCUGAAUAUGGGGGGACCAUCCUCCAAGGCUAAAUACUCCUGACUGACCGAUAGUGAACCAGUACCGUGAGGGAAAGGCGAAAAGAACCCCGGCGAGGGGAGUGAAAAAGAACCUGAAACCGUGUACGUACAAGCAGUGGGAGCACGCUUAGGCGUGUGACUGCGUACCUUUUGUAUAAUGGGUCAGCGACUUAUAUUCUGUAGCAAGGUUAACCGAAUAGGGGAGCCGAAGGGAAACCGAGUCUUAACUGGGCGUUAAGUUGCAGGGUAUAGACCCGAAACCCGGUGAUCUAGCCAUGGGCAGGUUGAAGGUUGGGUAACACUAACUGGAGGACCGAACCGACUAAUGUUGAAAAAUUAGCGGAUGACUUGUGGCUGGGGGUGAAAGGCCAAUCAAACCGGGAGAUAGCUGGUUCUCCCCGAAAGCUAUUUAGGUAGCGCCUCGUGAAUUCAUCUCCGGGGGUAGAGCACUGUUUCGGCAAGGGGGUCAUCCCGACUUACCAACCCGAUGCAAACUGCGAAUACCGGAGAAUGUUAUCACGGGAGACACACGGCGGGUGCUAACGUCCGUCGUGAAGAGGGAAACAACCCAGACCGCCAGCUAAGGUCCCAAAGUCAUGGUUAAGUGGGAAACGAUGUGGGAAGGCCCAGACAGCCAGGAUGUUGGCUUAGAAGCAGCCAUCAUUUAAAGAAAGCGUAAUAGCUCACUGGUCGAGUCGGCCUGCGCGGAAGAUGUAACGGGGCUAAACCAUGCACCGAAGCUGCGGCAGCGACACUAUGUGUUGUUGGGUAGGGGAGCGUUCUGUAAGCCUGUGAAGGUGUGCUGUGAGGCAUGCUGGAGGUAUCAGAAGUGCGAAUGCUGACAUAAGUAACGAUAAAGCGGGUGAAAAGCCCGCUCGCCGGAAGACCAAGGGUUCCUGUCCAACGUUAAUCGGGGCAGGGUGAGUCGACCCCUAAGGCGAGGCCGAAAGGCGUAGUCGAUGGGAAACAGGUUAAUAUUCCUGUACUUGGUGUUACUGCGAAGGGGGGACGGAGAAGGCUAUGUUGGCCGGGCGACGGUUGUCCCGGUUUAAGCGUGUAGGCUGGUUUUCCAGGCAAAUCCGGAAAAUCAAGGCUGAGGCGUGAUGACGAGGCACUACGGUGCUGAAGCAACAAAUGCCCUGCUUCCAGGAAAAGCCUCUAAGCAUCAGGUAACAUCAAAUCGUACCCCAAACCGACACAGGUGGUCAGGUAGAGAAUACCAAGGCGCUUGAGAGAACUCGGGUGAAGGAACUAGGCAAAAUGGUGCCGUAACUUCGGGAGAAGGCACGCUGAUAUGUAGGUGAAGCGACUUGCUCGUGGAGCUGAAAUCAGUCGAAGAUACCAGCUGGCUGCAACUGUUUAUUAAAAACACAGCACUGUGCAAACACGAAAGUGGACGUAUACGGUGUGACGCCUGCCCGGUGCCGGAAGGUUAAUUGAUGGGGUUAGCCGCAAGGCGAAGCUCUUGAUCGAAGCCCCGGUAAACGGCGGCCGUAACUAUAACGGUCCUAAGGUAGCGAAAUUCCUUGUCGGGUAAGUUCCGACCUGCACGAAUGGCGUAAUGAUGGCCAGGCUGUCUCCACCCGAGACUCAGUGAAAUUGAACUCGCUGUGAAGAUGCAGUGUACCCGCGGCAAGACGGAAAGACCCCGUGAACCUUUACUAUAGCUUGACACUGAACAUUGAGCCUUGAUGUGUAGGAUAGGUGGGAGGCUUUGAAGUGUGGACGCCAGUCUGCAUGGAGCCGACCUUGAAAUACCACCCUUUAAUGUUUGAUGUUCUAACGUUGACCCGUAAUCCGGGUUGCGGACAGUGUCUGGUGGGUAGUUUGACUGGGGCGGUCUCCUCCUAAAGAGUAACGGAGGAGCACGAAGGUUGGCUAAUCCUGGUCGGACAUCAGGAGGUUAGUGCAAUGGCAUAAGCCAGCUUGACUGCGAGCGUGACGGCGCGAGCAGGUGCGAAAGCAGGUCAUAGUGAUCCGGUGGUUCUGAAUGGAAGGGCCAUCGCUCAACGGAUAAAAGGUACUCCGGGGAUAACAGGCUGAUACCGCCCAAGAGUUCAUAUCGACGGCGGUGUUUGGCACCUCGAUGUCGGCUCAUCACAUCCUGGGGCUGAAGUAGGUCCCAAGGGUAUGGCUGUUCGCCAUUUAAAGUGGUACGCGAGCUGGGUUUAGAACGUCGUGAGACAGUUCGGUCCCUAUCUGCCGUGGGCGCUGGAGAACUGAGGGGGGCUGCUCCUAGUACGAGAGGACCGGAGUGGACGCAUCACUGGUGUUCGGGUUGUCAUGCCAAUGGCACUGCCCGGUAGCUAAAUGCGGAAGAGAUAAGUGCUGAAAGCAUCUAAGCACGAAACUUGCCCCGAGAUGAGUUCUCCCUGACUCCUUGAGAGUCCUGAAGGAACGUUGAAGACGACGACGUUGAUAGGCCGGGUGUGUAAGCGCAGCGAUGCGUUGAGCUAACCGGUACUAAUGAACCGUGAGGCUUAACCUU
rnacentral:rRNA from 1 species